rnacentral:RNase_P_RNA from 1 species
GAGCUCACCGCGGACGUGGUAACACGGACGGCACGGCAAACCCCAUCUGAAGCAAGGCCAAAUAGGGAAGCGCAUGGCGUGGCUCGCGUUGCUUCCGGGUAGGCUGCUUGAGCGUACUGGCAACAGUACGCCUAGAGGAAUGGUUGCCCACGACAGAACCCGGCUUAACGACCGGCUUCCCAC